rnacentral:ncRNA from 2 species
GACGUAGGGCGCGAGCGUUGUCCGGAUUUAUUGGGCGUAAAGAGCUCGUAGGCGGCUUGUCGCGUCGACUGUGAAAACCCACAGCUCAACUGUGGGCUUGCAGUCGAUACGGGCAGGCUAGAGUUCGGUAGGGGAGACUGGAAUUCCUGGUGUAGCGGUGAAAUGCGCAGAUAUCAGGAGGAACACCGGUGGCGAAGGCGGGUCUCUGGGCCGAUACUGACGCUGAGGAGCGAAAGCGUGGGGAGCGAACAGG